rnacentral:rRNA from 1 species
UACGUAGGGGGGCAAGCGUUGUCCGGAAUCAUUGGGCGUAAAGCGCGUGUAGGCGGCUCGAUAAGUCUGCUGUGAAAGUCCAAGGCUCAACCUUGGGAUGCCGGUGGAUACUGUCGAGCUCGAGUCCGGAAGAGGAGUGUGGAAUUCCUGGUGUAGCGGUGAAAUGCGCAGAUAUCAGGAGGAACACCAAUGGCGAAGGCAGCACUCUGGGACGUGACUGACGCUGAGACGCGAAAAGCGUGGGGGAGCAAACAGG